GACGAACGCUGGCGGCGUGCUUAACACAUGCAAGUCGAACGGAAAGGCCUGCUUUCCCUUGUGGAUUGCGGGUACUCGAGUGGCUAACGGGUGAGUAAUACGUGAGUGACCUGGCCCUAACUUUGGUAUAAGCGUGGGAAUCUUGGUCUAAUUCCCGCUGGGACUGGAGUGGGGUGCCUGUGGUGGAAGACGAUGGUCUAGUGGUUGAGGAUGGGCUCGGGGCGUAUCAGCUUGUUGGUGGGGUAAUGGCCUACUAAGGCGGCGACGGGGAGUCGGCCGGAGGGGGUGCACAGCGACAGUACGACUGAGAUACGGCUGAGACUCCGACGGGAGGCAGCAGUGGGGAAUAUUGGACGAUGAGCGGAAGACUGACGCAGCGACGCCGCGUGGGGGAUGACGGGCUUCGGGUUGUAAACUCCUUGUGAACGCGAGGAAGCCACCUGGUUGGAAGGGUGGUGACGGUAGUGGUAGAAGAAGCACCGGCUAACUACGUG
rnacentral:rRNA from 1 species